CCUACGGGUGGCAGCAGUGAGGAAUAUUGGUCAAUGGACGAAAGGCUGAACCAGCCAAGUCGCGUGAAGGACGACUGCCCUAUGGGUUGUAAACUUCUUUUAUAUGGGAAGAAAAUGUGCCACGUGUGGCAUGUUGUCUGUACCUUAUGAAUAAGCAUCGGCUAACUCCGUGCCAGCAGCCGCGGUAAUACGGAGGAUGCGAGCGUUAUCCGGAUUUAUUGGGUUUAAGGGGAGCGUAGGUGGUUUUUUAAGUUAGUUGGAAAGAGUCGGGGUUAAACCGUUAAGUGCAAUUGAGACUGUAAGACUUGAGUACAGACGAGGUAGGCGGAAUACGUUAUGUAGCGGUGAAAUGCUUAGAGAUAACGAAGAACUCCGAUAGCGAAGGCAGUUCACUGGACUGCAACUGACGCUGAGGCACGAGAGCGUGGGUAGCAAACAGGAUUAGAUACCCCAGUAGUC
rnacentral:rRNA from 1 species